rnacentral:tRNA from 1 species
GUUUUUGUAGUUGAAUUACAACGGUGGUUUUUCAGGCCAUUGGUCUCGGUUAGACUCCGAGUAAAAAUA